ACAAUCAGAGAAAGCCUGGCGCGCAAGCGUUCGGGUGAUCUCGUGCCUAUUGAAGAAUGAGCCUGCGAGUUUUUCCAUCAUGCAAAGCUUAAGCUGUUUCGCAGCGGAGGCGUAGAGAAAUCGAGUCUGAAUAGGGCGUUUCCUGACUUAAGUGUCAGGAUCAAGUAUGUUGGGAAAGACCCGAAACCGGGUGAGCUUACCAUGAUCAGGGUGAAAUCUCGGUAAAACGAGAUGAAGGCCCGCACCGGUGUAUGCUGCAAGAUGCUCGGAUGAGUUGUGGUAAGGGGUAAUAUGCCAAUCGAACCCGGAGAUAGCUGGUUCUCCCUGAAAUAUAUUUAGGUAUAGGGUCGUGUUAAAGCUGUAUGGGGGUAGAGCACUGAUCGGGUGCGCCUGAGGUAACUUAGGCCAUCUAGUCAAACUCCGAAUACCGUAUAGUGUUUCACGGCACUCAGCACCUGGGAGCUAAGUUCCAGGAACAAAAGGAAAACAAACCAGACCUACAGCUAAGGUCUCAAAUGUAUAUUUAGUGGUAAAGGAAGUCUUGUCCCUAAGACACCUAGGAGGUCGGCUCAGAAGCAGCCAUCCUUUAAAGAAAGCGUAACAGCUCACUAGCCGUAGGAUAUAUGCGCCCAAAAUUUA
rnacentral:rRNA from 1 species